UACAGAGGUCUCAAGCGUUGUUCGGAUUCAUUGGGCGUAAAGGGUGUGUAGGUGGCGCCGUAAGUCGGGUGUGAAAUUUCGGAGCUUAACUCCGAAACUGCAUUCGAUACUGCGGUGCUUGAGGACUGGAGAGGAGACUGGAAUUCAUGGUGUAGCAGUGAAAUGCGUAGAGAUCAUGAGGAAGACCAGUGGCGAAGGCGGCCAUCUGGACCAGCACUGACACUGAGGCACGAAAGCGUGGGGAGCAAACAGG
rnacentral:rRNA from 1 species